GUGUUCAUCCAAGACGAAAUAGUUGGUUAUGUCUGUGCAUUUGUAGACAACCCAGGUAUUGACAUUGUUUAAUACAUUACAUUAAUUGUACCAUUUUUUUUUUUUUUUUACAAUGUUAUCGAAAGAUAACAUUAAAUAUCUAGACUAGAUCUUAUGUAUAGUAAUUACAGUAUUUUUUAAUAGCUAUACAUUUUUAAGUAAACUAUUUGUUUUUUUUUUUUCUAUUUCAAAUGCUGAGCAUACAUAACUAAACUGGAAGAACAGAUGAAGUCCAAAAUGCUAAAGCAACAGACAAUCCAGACCAAGAUAAAGUUCCUCCUGCUGAUUUACAGACACUUUUGGUUGCUACUUGUGAUUAAGAACUGACUUCAAAUUAUGGCAAGAGGAUGAUUUAAAUCGCAGCUUGUGAUGCAACGCACACUAAUCAACAUUUGCACUUGCAGACCAACUAAAUAGUUGUGGAGAAACACAUUUAAUUGAUGACUUUACUAUCUUUAGCUUAGGACUUUUUAAAAGCGAAGACUGGACUCUUUAGCCAUCUUCGUGUUCAUAGGAAUGAUUAAUGGAGGAAUUCUAAAAGCGAAGACUGGACUCCUUAGCCAUCUUCGUGUUCGUAGGAAUGAUUAAUGGAGGAAUUUUAAAAGCGAAGACUGGACUCCUUAGCCAUCUUCGUGUUUAAAGGAUGUAGUUGAGGACUUUUUUUUGGAAAAAAGAUCGGUCUCCAUGGCCAUCUUUGCUUAGGUAGAAUAAUAAAUGGACUUGGAUAUUUUUUAGAGCGAAGAUCGGACUCCACAGCCAUCUUCGACUUAUAGGAAAGGAUAUUGUAUUAUUUUUUAAACAUGAGGAAUUUUAGCUGAGGACUAGAUGUAGUAACAGUUAUCAAUUGAUGUGUUCAUCCAAGACGAAAUAGUUGGUUAUGUCUGUGCAUUUGUAGACAACCCAGGUAUUGACAUUGUUUAAUACAUUACAUUAAUUGUACCAUUUUUUUUUUUUUUUUUACAAUGUUAUCGAAAGAUAACAUUAAAUAUCUAGACUAGAUCUUAUGUAUAGUAAUUACAGUAUUUUUUAAUAGCUAUACAUUUUUAAGUAAACUAUUUGUUUUUUUUUUUUCUAUUUCAAAUGCUGAGCAUACAUAACUAAACUGGAAGAACAGAUGAAGUCCAAAAUGCUAAAGCAACAGACAAUCCAGACCAAGAUAAAGUUCCUCCUGCUGAUUUACAGACACUUUUGGUUGCUACUUGUGAUUAAGAACUGACUUCAAAUUAUGGCAAGAGGAUGAUUUAAAUCGCAGCUUGUGAUGCAACGCACACUAAUCAACAUUUGCACUUGCAGACCAACUAAAUAGUUGUGGAGAAACACAUUUAAUUGAUGACUUUACUAUCUUUAGCUUAGGACUUUUUAAAAGCGAAGACUGGACUCUUUAGCCAUCUUCGUGUUCAUAGGAAUGAUUAAUGGAGGAAUUCUAAAAGCGAAGACUGGACUCCUUAGCCAUCUUCGUGUUCGUAGGAAUGAUUAAUGGAGGAAUUUUAAAAGCGAAGACUGGACUCCUUAGCCAUCUUCGUGUUUAAAGGAUGUAGUUGAGGACUUUUUUUUGGAAAAAAGAUCGGUCUCCAUGGCCAUCUUUGCUUAGGUAGAAUAAUAAAUGGACUUGGAUAUUUUUUAGAGCGAAGAUCAGACUCCACAGCCAUCUUCGACUUAUAGGAAAGGAUAUUGUAUUAUUUUUUAAACAUGAGGAAUUUUAGCUGAGGACUAGAUGUAGUAACAGUCAUCAAUUGAUGUGUUCAUCCAAGACGAAAUAGUUGGUUAUGUCUGUGCAUUUGUAGACAACCCAGGUAUUGACAUUGUUUAAUACAUUACAUUAAUUGUACCAUUUUUAUUUUUUUUUUUACAAUGUUAUCGAAAGAUAACAUUAAAUAUCUAGACUAGAUCUUAUGUAUAGUAAUUACAGUAUUUUUUAAUAGCUAUACAUUUUUAAGUAAACUAU